AACGCGAAGAACCUUACCAGAUCUUGACAUCCAAUUGACCAUCUUUUAAUCGUAGAUUUUGCCUUCGGGUACAAUUGAGACAGGUGGUGCAUGGUUGUCGUCAGCUCGUGUCGUGAGAUGUUGGGUUAAGUCCCGCAACGAGCGCAACCUUGUGUUUAGUUGCAAACAGGUCAAGCUGUGCACUCUAGACAGACUGCCGUGGACAACACGGAGGAAGGUGGGGAUGACGUCAAAUCAUCAUGCCCCUUAUGAUCUGGGCUACACACGUGCUACAAUGGCCGGUACAACGGGCAGCGAAGGAGCGAUCCGGAGCGAAUCCUAAAAAGCCGGUCCCAGUUCGGAUUGCAGGCUGAAACUCGCCUACAUGAAGUUGGAGUUGCUAGUAAUCGCGAAUCAGAAUGUCGCGGUGAAUGCGUUCCCGGGUCUU
rnacentral:rRNA from 1 species